AGAUUCUCGACUGACAUUUUAUCGUGUUCUUGUGUCCACGCUAUUUAGUUCCUCCUGGAGCCUUCUGAAUUUCACAUGUACUGCUUCAAUCAGCUCCUGCAGAGUGGAUAACUUACCUAGGGAUCCAGGCCUUACUGGACAGCAGCCAAUCAUGAACAGGGGGCAUACUGGCCUUGGGUUCUUCCCCCCAACCUUUUAAAAUUUUAAUUUAUAUAUAUUUUUACAUUUCAAAGUACAGGUAUUCAUUAUAGCAAGUUAUUGGAAAAUAAAAAGCCAAUGAGUUUUUCUAGAAAUAUAUAUCAUUUAAAAUGGAGGGGUUAUAUAGAAGAGCUUACUUACUGGAUUUUCUUUCCUUUUUUUUUUCCUUUCUAUAAACUGGGAUGUCUUUGUUUUCUAGUACAUAUUUUUAUAAUAUUAACCUGUUUGUGUAGAUAUGGAAAAGCAGUUGAAAACUGUUUUAUAUUUGUACAAAAUGUACUUUAGUGGUAUAUUGGGGAAAAAGGACUGAUGAGAACAUUAGGUUUAAGUAAGGAAAUAUGAAAGGGAUUUGUUUAAGAAGUUUUAAAGUAGGUAUAAAUUGAAGUAAUCCUAUAUAUCAUAGUGGUGUAAAGGUCCACCUACCAUUAAAAGAAAAACAUGAUUUUUGCAGUAUCUUGACUAAAUAAAUGAUUUUAAUAAUUUUAAAGAAUUUAAAAAACUUAUCAGACUGUUUUAAAAUAACAACAUGAAUUGGGACUACUUUAAUAGAUUUAUGUACUUACAUUAAAAUUAAGUUUAGUAUUCACAAUUAGAUAUAGAGGGAAGUAAUAAAGGAAAAAAUGUUCUAUUUUAAUUAUUUAUACUACAUAAAAUUGAAACUUUUAAUAUUAUUUAAAUGAAGGUGGCAGAAUUUCAGUGUAGAUAUGGAAGACCCAUUUUAUAAACUGUAAGAAUAAAUACAUAUUUUACAUGCUGAAGUAUUAGGUUUUCCUUUCUUUUUGUUUCAUUUGAAGACAUUUAAGAACUAAAUUUGGUUUUUAGUUAAUGAUUAACUGAUUUAAUUACCUUGGGUCUAACAAUGAAACAAAUAGAAUGAAUUUGGAAUUGUAAGGCCCUGAUACUUUUAUUUAAUAUUCUGUAUGAAAAAGAAAGAUGGUAUAUUAUCAAGGGAUGAACUGUUUUGUGUUCAAGGAGAACUUUGCUGUUUAAAAAAAGUUAUGUGUAUUUUCUAGAGCUAAAACAUUGUUUUUCAUUUCUCAGAAUGAAUUUGAGUUGAUUUCUUCUUAGCACUAUUAGGCCAGUUUAGCGGUACUUAAUUUUUGUAAAGGAAAACUUAAAGUUUUAGAUGUUUCCAAUAAAACUAAAAGCCCACUGAAAUUGUUCUCUUGAGACUUUUGUAUAAACAAACACUUGUCUAUUGAUCUCAAAUCUUCUUUGACCAAUAGAGUAGAAAGAAACAACUUGUUCUAUUCAUGGGAUUUACACACACACACAAUUUUUUUUUUCCUUAGUGUAGAUUCUAUUCUUCAUUUAGGCUUUUAGAAGCCAAAUACUGUGUGCAUGCUUACCUUUACAUUGAGUACGAACAAGACUAUAGUUUGAAUAACUAAAAAUUGUUGUCAGGACAUUUUUUUUUAAUCACAUGAAGCUAUAUUUUCCAGAAUAUUUAUGUUCUUUAAGUUUCUUCUACAGUAGGAAGAAAAAAAUUAGUUAUAUAGUAAAGUUUUGCAGGAGAAUUGCUACUUGGAUAUUUGUGGCAAUUCAGGGGUGAAAUUGUUUUAUCAUCAUUUUAGAAGAAGUAAUAGCAUUGCUUUUGAUGAGAGUCACUGACAUUUAGAAUUCAGACAGUUGGGUCAUAAACUAUUUUUUAUAAAUGAAGAAUAUAGUGUAAUAUAAAAGUGAAUUUUUUGAAAUAUAUGGGUUUUAAUUUUAUCAAAUUUCUUAGUUUAAAAACUAUCUUCCUAUUGAAAAAAUUAGAAUGUUAAAUGCUUACUUAGAAGAAUUCUGAAGCAUGAGUUAAGUUGGAAUAAAAUGAUUUCAAAUUAAUUAUUGCUUAAUUUAUUAUGAACAUGAACAAUACUUUGAAGUUUAUUUCUGAGCUGUUUCGCAAUUUUUGCAGUACUACACAGUGUUAGCAGUCUAUUAUAGAUGGUUAGUGAAUAUUGG
rnacentral:lncRNA from 1 species